GCCGAUGUAGCUCAGUUAGCAGAGCACAACUUUCGUAAAGUUGGGGUCGCCAGUGCAAUUCUGGCCAUCGGCU
rnacentral:tRNA from 1 species